CCUUAGAGUUUGAUCCUGGCUCAGAGCGAACGCUGGCGGCAGGCUUAACACAUGCAAGUCGAGCGGGCGUAGCAAUACGUCAGCGGCAGACGGGUGAGUAACGCGUGGGAACAUACCUUUUGGUUCGGAACAACACAGGGAAACUUGUGCUAAUACCGGAUAAGCCCUUACGGGGAAAGAUUUAUCGCCGAAAGAUUGGCCCGCGUCUGAUUAGCUAGCUGGUGAGGUAACGGCUCACCAAGGCGACGAUCAGUAGCUGGUCUGAGAGGAUGAUCAGCCACAUUGGGACUGAGACACGGCCCAAACUCCUACGGGAGGCAGCAGUGGGGAAUAUUGGACAAUGGGCGCAAGCCUGAUCCAGCCAUGCCGCGUGAGUGAUGAAGGCCCUAGGGUUGUAAAGCUCUUUUGUGCGGGAAGAUAAUGACGGUACCGCAAGAAUAAGCCCCGGCUAACUUCGUGCCAGCAGCCGCGGUAAUACGAAGGGGGCUAGCGUUGCUCGG
rnacentral:rRNA from 1 species